rfam:Schistocephalus solidus strain NST_G2 genome assembly, scaffold: SSLN_scaffold0002684
GGCCUCAUAGUUAAGUUGGUUAGAGGGUUAGCUGUACUUAAGCCUUCCUCUUGCUGGCGUGGGUUCGAAUCCCACCGAGGCCA